rnacentral:rRNA from 1 species
UACAGAGGGGGCAAGCGUUAUUCGGAAUUAUUGGGCGUAAAGGGCGCGUAGGCGGCCAUUCAAGUGACGGGUGAAAGCCCUCGGCUUAACCGAGGAACUGCCUGUCAGACUGGAUGGCUUGAGACCGGGAGAGGUGAGUGGAAUUCCUGGUGUAGCGGUGAAAUGCGCAGAUAUCAGGAAGAACACCAAUGGCGAAGGCAGCUCUCUGGGACGGUACUGACGCUGAGACGCGAAAGCGUGGGGAGGCGAACAGG